UUCCCAAAAUGCUGGGAUUACAGGUGUGAGCCACCAUGGCUGGCAAGCUAUCAAAUCUUAAAAGCAAGACCUGAAAGGAUCAAAUUAUUUCCAAGUAUUAAUAAUUUAACUGAGUUCUAGAACAAAACUCAAAAAUAUUUAUCAGAAUACAAAAAUAUCCAGGCCCCAACAAGAUAAUGUUUAAAGUAUAUGUCAGCCAAUAAAAAAUUACAAUGCAUACAAAGAAUCAAAAAGAUCUGGUCCAGAGUAAGGAGAUAAAUGAAUCAAUCAAAACCAAUCUGAAAACUGACACAGAUGUGAAAAUUAGCUGACAAAGACAUUACAGAUACUGUUUGACUUGUGAUGAGAUUAUAUCCUGAUAAACCCUUGUAAAUUGAAAUUAUUAUAAGUUGAAAAUGCAUUUAAUACAUCUAACCUACCAAACACCAUAGCUUAGACUAGCCUAUCUUAAACGUGCUCAGAAAACUUACAUUAGCCUACAGUUGAACAAAAUCAUCUAACACAAAGCCAACUUUAAAAUCAAGUGUUGACUUUGGCUUCUAAAUACCAUUCUCCACUAAAAGGAAUCAAAGUUCUUCAGAAAAAUGACUGAUUCUAGGGUUUGGACUAAAAAGUACAAGCUGAAUCUAAAAGAUAUUUUUGUGCCAGAAAGCAAGGAAGCUCUCAAAGACUAUGGUCAUAUCAAAAGGACCCAGGAGCUAACUUGUCGGUACUUCAAAUAGCCAAUUGGAGACAAUUUGACCAUCAAAAUAAGUAAUAUUCAUAAGGGAUUAUAAUCCUUGUGGUAGGCAGAAUAAUGGCCUACAAAGAUGUCUAUGCCUGAAUCAAUGGAAUCUAUGAACGUGGAAUCUUGCAUGGGAAAAGGGAAUUGGCAGAUUUGAUUAGAGACCCAAAGAUAGAAAGAUUAUCUUGGAUUAUGUGAUGACUAAUAUUGAGUGUCAACUUGAUUGGAUUGAAGGCUGCAAAGUAUUUUUCCUGGAUGUAUCUGUAAAGGUGUUGCCAAAGGAGAUUAACAUUUAAGUUGGUGGACUGGGAGAGGCCGACCUACCCUCAAUAUGGAUGGGCACGAUCUAAUCAGAUGCCAGCACGGCUAGAAUAAAGCAGGCAGAAGAGCCUGGAAGGACUAGACUGGCUGGGUCUUCCAGCCUUCCUGUUUCUCCCUUGCUGGAUGCUUCCUGCCCUCGAACGUUAGACUCCAAGUUCUUCAGCUUUUGGACUCUUGGACUCACCAGUGCUUUGCCCAGGCCUCUCAGGCCUUCUGCCAUAGACUGAAGGCUGCACUGUUGGCUUCCCUACUUCCGAUGUUUUGAGACUCGAACUGGCUUCGUUGCUUGCUCCUCAGCUUGCAGACGGCUUAUUGUGGGACUUCAACUUGUCAUUGUGCCCAGUGUAAUCACAUGAGUCCUUAAAAAUAGAAAUCCUUCCUGACUACAGAGAACCAGAGAGAUGGAAGCACGAGAAGGACUCAACCUGUGUUGCUGGCUUCCAAAUGGAGGAAGGGAUCCAGGAGACAAGGAAUGUGAGUGGCCUCUAGAAGACAGAAAAGGCAAUAAAAUGGAUUCACCCCUAGAGCCCCUAGGAAGCAAUGGCACCCUGUCAACAACUUGAUUUUUAGCCCAGUGAGUCCUGUGUCAGACUCCUGACAUAAAGAACUGUUAGAUAAUGCACUUAAUGUUCUUUUAAGCCACUAAAUUUGUGAUGAUUUGUCUCAGCAGCAAUAGAAAACUAAUGCAAUCCCCUGAAUAAAAUAGGAAGGUGUAAGUCCAUAAAGAUAGAAAUAAAAGAAUAAAUUGAAAGUUUGCUGAGGAAUAGGAUAUCUAUUUCAAAAUAACUCUGCAGAAAGCACUUAUUACAAAGGGUUAAUGAGCAAUGUGGAAGUUAUUCCUAGUUCUCUGCUAGGAGGAGCCUAGUGGAUACCACUCUAAUAAAGUGAUCUAACUGAAUAUCAACAGCAGUGAGACAGAUGUAAAUUGUGCCUCAGCCAAUAGUACCAGUGAGAAGAAUGCAACACUUCUGUGGUAUUUCCACCCAAGAUACAUAACUUAAGAAAACAUCAGAAACAUUGUAAGAAACUCAGAUUGAGGGACAUUCUAUGUAAUAACUGAUCAGUUAUCAUCAAAGUUGCCAAGGUCAUUUAAGUCAAGGGAAGACAAAGGAACUGUUCCAAGCUAAAAAACGCACUAAAGAGCCUUGACAAUUAAAUGCAAUGUGUGGUUUUGAAUUGGAUUCUUUUGUUGGAAUCACUGGCAAAACUUGAAUGGGUUCUGAGGAUUCGACUGUAGUUAGUAUCAAUGUUAAUUUUCUGAUUUUAAUGGUUAUUUUUUGGCUAUGUAGAAAAAUUUUUGAAAAGUCAUACUAACAAAGAUAAAUAACUAUGGUAGCUUGUCUCCAAGAUGGCUGGCCAGCAUAAAUUUCUUCUUCCUGUAUCCAAGCCAGGGUUGCAGUUUAUUCCUUUGCUCCCUUGAAUGUAGCCUGAUUUGUGACGCUUUGGUCAACAGAAUACUACUAAAGUCAUGCUGUGUGACUUCUGAAGCUAGCUCCUAAGAAGUCCUUGCAGCUUCUGCCUGCAACUCUCAGAACACUUGCUUUGAAGGACACCAGAUGCUGUGUUAAAAGUCUGAGCACUCUGAAACCACCAUGCUAUGAGGAAGCCCAAGCUAACCACAUGAGCAAAAAAGAAGAUGCCCUCUGACUGCCGCCAUUUGAGACACUCUAAUUAAGAACUGCCUCAUUGAGCCCAUGAGGGCCUGUGAAUGAUAAUAAUCAAUUGUUGUUUUUAACCACUAUAUUUUUGGAUUUGUUAUUAAUUUAUAGAUAACAAGAAGAAGUUAUAUUAGCAUGGUAAUAAAAUUAUGGAUAUAAGUUUGGUGUUUAGUUUCUUUUUUUUUUUUUUUUUUACGUUAAGCCUAUAUUACUGUUGUUAGGAAAUCACUUGUUUUCCUCCAGCACUUCAGUGAAAGAGUGGCACUACUUAGAACGUACUUCUUAAGAUAUGGCUGUACAUAGAAUAAAUUAUUCACCAUGAUUUCCUUAACAUCCAACAGAAUCUCAGAGUAUAGUAGAUGCUUAAUAAAUAUUUGUUGAAUAAUUGACAUAUGGGAGAGUGCUAGAUAAACUCUUUGAGGAUGACAGGCUAUUGAUUCAUUUAUCUUCUUCGAUUUAUGUGAGUCUGGCAUCAUAUUUUUUUUGCAACUAGUUCUGUCUUUAAAGAAACCAAGAAGAAAGGCCGUGUGUUGAAGUUAUGAUUUAUUGCCUUUCUCCCCAUACAUUUAUUUCUUCACAUGAUCAUCUCCUUUGCUUUCUUCUGUGACUAACUCGCUCUAGCUGUGUGAACAUUUUGCCACUAUUCUGCUCCCUUUAUACCUGUCUAGGCAAAGACUGCACAAAAAAUGAAAUGAUAAACCAAGCACUGUUGCAAAUGAAACUUAGAUGACAUGCCAACAGCUCACAUCAGUCAAUAUGUAAAAAGAAUAAUACCCAUGGACAAGUAGGGCUAAUUUCAAGGAUACAAGAAUAACACUGGGGAAUUAGUUAAUAUAAAUAAAUCAUGUUUCAUAGAUCAAAAAAACACGAUCAUCUUGGCUUUCAAAACGUUCUUAGGAAACAAGAUCUUGAAUACUUUAUUAACAUGAUAAAGAAGAUUUAUAUUAAAUGAGCAUUUAUUGAGACAUAGCAUAUACAAUAUAAUGUUGAAUUUUAGGGAUUAAAAUAUUAAAUAAGGCAAAUCAUUGUUCUCAAGAACUUAAAAUAUAAAAUAUUAAUCACA